GAUGAAGAACGUAGCGAAAUGCGAUACGUAAUGUGAAUUGCAAAUUCAGUGAAUCAUCGAGUCUUUGAACGCACAUUGCGCCCCCUGGUAUUCCGGGGGGCAUGCCUGUCCGAGCGUCAUUGCUGCCCUCAAGCACGGCUUGUGUGUUGGGCCCCGUCCUCCGAUCCCGGGGGACGGGCCCGAAAGGCAGCGGCGGCACCGCGUCCGGUCCUCGAGCGUAUGGGGCUUUGUCACCCGCUCUGUAGGCCCGGCCGGCGCUUGCCGAUCAACCCAAAUUUUUAUCCAGGUUGACCUCGGAUCAGGUAGGGAUACCCGCUGAACUUAAGCAUAUCAAUAGGGAGGA
rnacentral:misc_RNA from 1 species